GGAUGAGAAACAAGAGCAGAUUCCACUUCUGCUGUACCAAUUCGAUGCCCACUAACAUUGAUGACAUCAUCAACUCUUCCAGUAAGCCAGUAGUAUCCAUCCUUGUCCCUGCUACAGCCAUCACCACUGAAAUAAUAGCCAGGGAAUGGCUUGAAGUAUGUGGUUUCAUAUCUUUCAUGAUCACCAUAAAGAGUUCGGAACGCCCCAGGCCAUGAGCUUUUCACACAAAGAUACCCACGACCACAUACUUCAAUCUCAGCACCCUUCUCAUCCACUAUGACAGGCUGAACACCAAAGAAAGGGAAAGUUGCAGAACCAGGCUUCUGUGGCCAAGCACCUGGCAGUGGAGUAAUCAUAAAUCCACCAGUUUCAGUUUGCCACCAAGUGUCAGAUAUAGGGCACCUGGAAUCUCCAACUACAUUGAAAA
rnacentral:misc_RNA from 1 species